ACAGACUGAGAGCUCUUUCUUGAUUCUAUGGGUGGUGGUGCAUGGCCGUUCUUAGUUGGUGGAGUGAUUUGUCUUGUUAAUUCAGUUAACGAACGAGACCUCAGCCUGCUAACUAGCUACACGGAGGUGAUCCUAUGUGGCUAGCUUCUUAGAGGGACUAUGGCCUUGUAGGCCACGGAAGUUUGAGGCAAUAACAGGUCUGUGAUGCCCUUAGAUGUUCUGGGCCGCGCGCGCUACACUGAUGUAUUCAACGAGUCUAUAGCCUUGGCUGACAGGCUCGAGUAAUCUUUGAAAUUUCAUCGUGAUGGGGAUAGAUCAUUGCAAUUGUUGUCUUCAACGAGGAAUUCCUAGUAAACAUGAGUUAUCAGCUCACGUUGACUACGUCCUGGCCCUUUGUACACACAGCCUGUCGCUCCUACCGAUUGAAUGGUCCAGUGAAGUGUUCGGAUCCCGGCGACGUGGGCGGUUCGUAGCUCGCGACGUCGCGAGAAGUCCACUCAACCUUAUCAUUUAGAGGAAAGAGAAGUCGUAACAAGGUUUCUGUAGGUGAACCUGCGGAAGGAUCAUUG
rnacentral:ncRNA from 1 species